GAUGAACGCUGGCGGCGUGCCUAAUACAUGCAAGUCGAGCGAAUGGAUUAAGAGCUUGCUCUUAUGAAGUUAGCGGCGGACGGGUGAGUAACACGUGGGUAACCUGCCCAUAAGACUGGGAUAACUCCGGGAAACCGGGGCUAAUACCGGCUAACAUUUUGAACCGCAUGGUUAGAAAUUGAAAGGCGGCUUCGGCUGUCACUUAAGGAUGGACCGGCGUCGCAUUAGCUAGUUGGUGAGGUAACGGCUCACCAAGGCAACGAUGCGUAGCCGACCUGAGAGGGUGAUCGGCCACACUGGGACUGAGACACGGCCCAGACUCCUACGGGAGGCAGCAGUAGGGAAUCUUCCGCAAUGGACGAAAGUCUGACGGAGCAACGCCGCGUGAGUGAUGAAGGCUUUCGGGUCGUAAAACUCUGUUGUUAGGGAAGAACAAGUGCUAGUUGAAUAAGCUGGCACCUUGACGGUACCUAACCAGAAAGCCACGGCUAACUACGUGCCAGCCGCCGCAGUAA
rnacentral:rRNA from 1 species